rnacentral:rRNA from 1 species
UGAUCCUACGGGAGGCAGCAGUCGGGAAUAUUGCGCAAUGGAGGAAACUCUGACGCGGUGACGCCGCGUAUAGGAAGAAGGUUUUCGGAUUGUAAACUAUUGUCGUUAGGGAAGAUAAAAGACUGUACCUAAGGAGGAAGCCCCGGCUAACUAUGUGCCAGCAGCCGCGGUAAUACAUAGGGGGCAAGCGUUGUCCGGAAUGACUGGGCGUAAAGGGUGCGUAGGCGGCAUAAUAAGUUAGAAGUGAAAUACCCAGAGCUUAACUCGGGUGCUGCUUCUAAGACUGUUGAGCUUGAGUGCGGGAG